CCCUUAGAUGUUCUGGGCCGCACGCGCGCUACACUGACGAAGUCAGCGAGCAUGUCCUACGCCGACAGGUGCGGGGAAUCUUGGCAAACUUCGUCGUGAUGGGGAUUGAUUAUUGAAAUUCUUGAUCAUCAACGAGGAAUUCCUAGUAAGCGCAAGUCAGCAGCUUGCGUUGAUUACGUCCCUGCCCUUUGUACACACCGCCCGUCGCUACUACCGAUUGAAUGGUUUAGUGAGAUCUUCGGAUUGGCGCCACUGCGGCUCAGCAAUGGGCUCGGUGGAUGCCGAAAAGUUGAUCAAACUUGAUCAUUUAGAGGAAGUAAAAGUCGUAACA
rnacentral:rRNA from 1 species